rnacentral:rRNA from 1 species
GCGCGAAAACUUCACACUGCAGGAAACUGCGAUGAGGGAACUCCAAGUGACUGGUUUUGGAAUAAGGGCUGGGAAAGACCGGUGCCAGCCGCCGCGGUAAUACCGGCAGCUCGAGUGGUCGUCGCUUUUAUUGGGCCUAAAACGUCCGUAGCCUGUUUGGUAAAUCUGUGGGUAAAUCAACCAGCUUAACUGGUUGAAUUCUGCAGAGACUGCCAGACUAGGGACCGGGAGAGGUGUGGGGUACUCUAGGGGUAGGGGUAAAAUCCUGUCAUCCUUAGAGGACCACCAGUUGCGAAGGCGCCACACUAGAACGGAUCCGACGGUCAGGGACGAAGCCUAGGGGCACGAACCGGAUUAGAUACCCGGGUAGUCCUAGGUGUAAACGCUGUGAACUUGGUGUCGGGAGUCCGCAAUGGGCCCCCGGUGCCGGAGUGAAGAUGUUAAGUUCACUGCCUGGGGAGUACGGUCGCAAGGCUGAAACAUAAAGGAAUUGGCGGGGGAGCACGCAACGGGAGGAGCGUGCGGUUUAAUUGGAUUCAACGCCGGAAAACUCACCAGGGCCGACUGUUAUAUGAAGACCAGCGUAAUGAGCUUGUCGGAUUUUCAGAGAAGUGGUGCAUGGCC